rnacentral:rRNA from 1 species
AGAGUUUGAUCCUGGCUCAGAUUGAACGCUGGCGGAAUGCUUUACACAUGCAAGUCGAACGGCAGCACGGGAGCUUGCUCCUGGUGGCGAGUGGCGAACGGGUGAGUAAUGCGUCGGAACGUACCGAGUAAUGGGGGAUAACGCAGCGAAAGCUGUGCUAAUACCGCAUACGCCCUGAGGGGGAAAGUGGGGGAUCGCAAGACCUCACGUUAUUCGAGCGGCCGACGUCUGAUUAGCUAGUUGGUGGGGUAAUGGCCUACCAAGGCGACGAUCAGUAGCGGGUCUGAGAGGAUGAUCCGCCACACUGGAACUGAGACACGGUCCAGACUCCUACGGGAGGCAGCAGUGGGGAAUUUUGGACAAUGGGCGAAAGCCUGAUCCAGCAAUGCCGCGUGCAGGAAGAAGGCCUUCGGGUU